CUUCUGCCCCUUGUCUUGAGCCUUCCUGUCAGUGCUCUUAUGCCCCUAAGCUAAUACUGGCAGGUCCACAAAUUGCAUAUUUGCUCGGAACAAUGAGCUAAAUGAUCACUGAGCUAAACAGAAACUGUCCAUCCCCUACCCCUGAAAGGCCCAGCAGGUACAUUCCCACUAGAAACAGGGCCAAAGGGGGGGAGGGGGGGGUGUUCUUCUGAGGUAUUUCCUGAGAAUGCAGCAGUGACAAAUGCAUUGCAAAACUACAGCAUGACCCGCACCUUUUAAAGCAAGGCCUGACAAGGUCGGUGAAUGGCCAAAUGAACACGCAGGAAGGGGUCUUUCAUACUCACUGCCCAUAGAACUGCACUUUUCCACAAGUCCAUAUGGCACAAGGAGCACCUCAGUCAGUAGCACGUACGUCUCCUGGCCACCUCUGGAUUCUUGUAACCAGUUCCUCAGGUGGCGGCAUGGCUUCAGCACUGUCCUUCCUCCUGCCUCGCUCCGCCUUUCUUGAGGAGCUCCCUUGGAUGCCUGGGAGCACGCUGAAAAUACACAUUGUGGGGAGGUGGUGUGAGCACAGGGGGAGUUUGGUCUCCGUCCUGUACUCACAAGCUGGGCAGAGACAGAGAUCACCCCCAGCUGAAACGCCCAGGGCUGCAUGAUGUGCCCGCAGGAAUGCUCAGCAUGACCAGAUACAGGCUCUCUCUUGAUGUGGCAAGGAGAGGAGCAGGGUCCUUUACAAAGACAGCCUCUAAGAGACACAGUUACCCCAUCCUGGCAAAGGUAUUAAACACUGCUCAAAUGUCACAGCUACUGUGCGUUUAGGUAUGGAAAACUGAUUGUUCCUGGAGACCCAGUGUCAAAGAAGGAGAAAGUGGUCAGGGGUGUAAAGGCCUUCCUGCCAUCGAGGGAUCAGGAGUCACUGUGACAUGUGAUAAAAGAUAUUCAGAGCUGCUAUGAACCUUGUGUCCAGAGGAAACAUCUCACCCAAACAAACACWAGGGUACAGGGUCACCCUCAUCCAUUC
rnacentral:lncRNA from 1 species